rnacentral:rRNA from 1 species
GACGAACCGUGCAAACGUUGUUCGGAAUCACUGGGCUUAAAGGGCGCGUAGGCGGGUCUCCCAGUCUGUGGUGAAAUCCUCCAGCUUAACUGGAGAAGUGCCGUGGAUACUGGAGACCUCGAGGAGGAUAGGGGCAUCUGGAACGGUCGGUGGAGCGGUGAAAUGCGUUGAUAUCGACCGGAACUCCGGUGGCGAAGGCGAGGUGCUGGGUCCUUUCUGACGCUGAUGCGCGAAAGCCAGGGGAGCAAACGGG